rnacentral:pre_miRNA from 1 species
AAAGUACUCCCUCCGUCCCAAAAUUCUUGUCUUAGAUUUGUCUAGAUACGGAUGUAUCAAGUCACAUUUUAGUAUUAGAUACAACCGUAUCUAGACAAAUCUAAGACAAGAAAUUUGGGACAGAGGGAGUAGUUG